GUGAGGAAUUUUCCGCAAUGGGCGAAAGCCUGACGGAGCAAUGCCGCGUGAAGGAUGAAGGCCUAUGGGUUGUAAACUUCUUUUCUCAGAAAAGAAUUAUGACGGUAUCUGAGGAAUAAGCAUCGGCUAACUCUGUGCCAGCAGCCGCGGUAAGACAGAGGAUGCAAGCGUUAUCCGGAAUGAUUGGGCGUAAAGCGUCUGUAGGUUGUUUAAAAAGUAUUCUGUCAAAGAUUAGGGCUUAACCCUAGAUAGGCAGAAUAAACUUUUAAGCUAGAGUUUGGUAGAGGCAGAGGGAAUUCCCGGUGGAGCGGUGAAAUGCGUAGAUAUCGGGAGGAACACCAAAGGCGAAGGCACUCUGCUGGGCCAAUACUAACACUGAGAGACGAAAGCGAGGGGAGCAAAUGGGAUUAGAAACCCGGGUAGCC
rnacentral:rRNA from 1 species